AGGAGGAGGAGGAGAGGAGGAAGUGGAUGGAAGCGAGAGAGUUUAGUGUGGAAGAAGAAUCAGCUGGCGAAGGAUCGAGGAGGUGGAGGAGGUCUGCGUGGACUGUAUCCGUGUAGGUCUCAAGAAGCUGGAGACCUACCCGUGUACCUGGCUGCUGGGAGGCUCGUUCACCUGGCCGGCUCGUACAGGAAUUCGACCCACUACGAGACCUGUUGUCAAGUCUUCUGGUAACUCCAUCCAUCAUGAAAGUUCUUGGUCUUUAGGGGACUACAAUGGCAAUGUAGUGGUGUCCAGGCCAGCACUUAUGUCCGAGUUCCUAAAGACAUGAUUGUGCAUAGAGGAUAGAUUUGCCAGACGGAUCUCCUCCAGCAGCUGUCUCCACUCUUCCUCUCCUCCACCCACCCACCCAUCAUCCUCUCCUCCACCCACCCACCCAUCUUUCCUCUCCUCCACCAACCAUUCCUUCCUCCUUUUCCCCUCCACCCACCACAGCGUUCCUCCAGCAGCCAUCUCCGUUCUUCCACUCAUCCACCCACCCAUCUUCCUCUCCUCCACCUCCCCUUCUCCACUCCACCUUUUCCCCUCCACCCACCACAGCGUUCCUCCAGCACCCGUCUCCGUUCUUCCACUCCUCCAUCCACCCACCCAUAUUCCUCCCUCCCCGUUUCCCCUCCAUCCACCACAGCGUUCCACCAGCGACGUGUCUUGACAGAUCCUGGUGGUGUGGUGGUGACUGUAUAAAUUGACUUAAUAAAUGGUUGCUGGUACUCUUCUGUUUGGUUAAUUAAUUUCCAGGUGUUCCCUUGACCAGACUGGGGUGUUUAAAACUGGGGUAACUUACUUCUUUUAAUAGCAAACUGGGUAAAACUUAACCACAAGCACCGUACAAGUCUUAAUUUUACUUAGACCUAAAAGUUUAAGACAGAAUUUCACUUACUCCUAAAGUUUGUACAUGGCUAUCGUAUCUUAACACUCCGACCUGCACUUCCUCCCUCCACAUGCGUCUCCUAUAGUCAAACCACUAAACGGUAAGGGUGUUCGAUUCCAUGGGUCCUUUCCUAGGGUCUGCUCUGCCACACAAUCCAGAUACCUGUUUAUCCUUCUCUUAUGUUAACUACAACUAACAUGGGACAGGUAUUGGGACAGAGGUGUUGGGACAGUGGCAGAGAAGAAGGAAGGAAAGGACAGGUGUAAUGGAACUCUCAAAACGGACUAUUUGAAAUGGUUUGACGAUAGCUCCACUUCCUCUCUACUCCACUCCAAACGGCCUAUUUGAAAUGAUUUGCGGAUAGCUCCACUCCACUCUUUUAAAGUUUGUACAUUACCACCUUAACUUAAGACACACUCCUAGCCACAGUCCCUCCCUUGACAUCUCUUUCACCCCCUCCACCACCAACCCCAUCUGUUCAUUAGGUGGUGUGUUGAGGCCCUGGGAGGCAUGUUUCCUUACAAAAAGUGUCUUGAUUCAGAAGUCUGUGUGUUGUGGUUUGUAUAAAUGAAUCAUAUGGUCUGUACAGAUAGCUAAGUACAAAUUAAAACUAUCAACAAGGAAGUUUGUAUAAAUGCCUAAAUACAAAUUAAAAUGAUCAACAAGGCAGAAGUCUGUGUGUUGUGGGUUGUAUAAAUGAAUCAUAUGGUCUACAGAUAGCUAAAUACAAAUUAAAACUAUCAACAAGGAAGUUUGUAUAAAUGCCUAAAUACAAAUUAAAACUAUCAACAAGGAAGGUUCUCUGUUCUGGUUUGUAUAA